GUCCACGCCGUAAACGUUGGGCACUAGGUGUGGGUCUCUAACCAACGAGAUCCGCGCCGUCGCUAACGCAUUAAGUGCCCCGCCUGGGGAGUACGGUCGCAAGACUAAAACUCAAAGGAAUUGACGGGGGCCCGCACAAGCAGCGGAGCGUGUUGCUUAAUUCGAUGCUACGCGAAGAACCUUACCUAGGUUAAAUCAUUGGGAAAAGCCACAGAGAUGUGGUGUCCUGGGCGUCAAUGAAGGUGGUGCAUGGCUGUCGU
rnacentral:rRNA from 1 species